GGCGGAUGUACAAGUUGGUACUGGGAGGAAGAAUGCAUUGAACACAUUAAGAAAUCUUUUGCACAGGUGGUUGAGGCUGAAGGUGGUGAGGCAGUGAGCCGACGAAAGGAGUUCAAUGAUGUUGAUCAAGCGAAUGAUCUAUCUAAUAUAGUUGGGAUCGGACGCGAACUAAUUAUGUUGCUUAAGUGCAUUUUAGUUUUGGUUUUUUUAGUGCUAG
rnacentral:lncRNA from 1 species